rnacentral:rRNA from 1 species
GGUCCCUACGGGAGGCAGCAGUGGGGAAUAUUGCGCAAUGGGCGAAAGCCUGACGCAGCGACGCCGCGUGAGGGAUGAAGGUCUUCGGAUCGUAAACCUCUGUCAGCGGGGAAGAACGGUCACUGUGCUAAUCAGCAGUGAAUUGACGGUACCUGCAAAGGCAGCACCGGCUAACUCCGUGCCAGCAGCCGCGGUAAUACGGCGGGUGCGAGCGUUAAUCGGAAUUACUGGGCGUAAAGCGCUCGUAGGCGGUAGGUCAAGUCAA